GUCGAUAAGCAUGGAUUCAAGAAUAUUUUAAAAUAUUUUUUUUUAUGCUUGUAAAAGUAUACUUAAUCAAUUAUGAAAUUUAUCUGCAGCUUAUUAUUUGAAUCCGAGAUUCCAGUACACCAUUUCUGGGAUAGAUAUGGAUAACGAGCUUCUUGCUACUCUUCGUAACGUGAUAUAUAAGAUGGUGUCCGAUCCAGAUAUCACAUCGUUGUAUCUGCAAGAGGAAUACUAAUUUAAAACAAAUAUAAUUAUUCAACUGAAUUUGAUCUGUACUCAACGAUAUAUUUAUAAAUUUAAUAAAUAUUUUUUUACAGACGAAACAGUUUAGAGAGAGAUCAGACAGUUUUGGAGUCCCAUCAACUGUCGUAAGCAAAAACCAGAUGAAUCCAGAUAAAUUACAUAUCAAUAAUGAGCAGCAUAGAUUGAUAUGUAAUUUUGCUUAAUAAUAUCAUAAAAUUUGAUAUGUAAUUUUGCUUUUACAGCUGAAUGGUGGAUUCAUUUUGGAAUAUCCAC
rnacentral:lncRNA from 1 species